CACACACACACACUCAUUCUCUCUCUCUGUCUCUCUCUCUCUCCCCCCUAAAGAACCCAGCCCUGCAGUAACUAGACAUUUAACACAGAAUGAAGAAUUUUAUUAGUUGGUCCAUAAAGGAUCCUGCCUCUUCUGGCUUCCUGGAUAUGGGUAACUAUUACAAUUAUAUUUAAUUACAGUUGCUUCAGUUACUUACUGUUAUUAUGAUUAUUAUCCAUCAGUAUAACAUCAUGGGGGAUUUUUAAAAACAUAAAUAGCCUUUCUAGCAUUCAAGAUCUUUACACAUAAAAAGAGGAAAGCUACUGUUCCAAAUUUCCCCAUGAGUCACCAAUGAAUCCUGACCAUGAACCAGCUCCAGGAUUGAUGUUUAGAGUUUUUGAUAUUUGGACAAAGAAAAAAGUUCUGAUCUUAACAGCAAAACUCCCAUGGGAAUCAGUGAGGCCAAAUCCCUGAGGUCUGUGCUAGUUAUUACUCAGGUAAAGCCCUACUGACCUUAACAGGAGUUUGCUGGAGCGCAAACCAAAGCAAACUGGAGGCUCGGAGCAAGCACUGCCGCAUUUGGCCCAGUAGUAGCACUAUUUUAAGUUGCGGUGUUUUGGACAAUAGAACGCAGCAGAUCUUUUCUUGUUUAGCAGCAAAAAUUCUUGUGAGUUCCCACUGGUGUUCUCAUGUGGGCGAAGGUUGUAGGACAGAGUCUCUCCUAUGCUGGAAUCUAGCUGGAGAAAGUCAAGUAGGAUUCCUUGACUCUCAAAUUUCCCUGCUGCAGUGCAAGUUACAGUUUCCUGUAUGUUGCUGUAACUGAUGAUAUGUGGCAACAAUCCCCAAGGGGGACUGCACAGCCGCUGGGAUUUAGCGAGCAGUGCAUCCAUCCCUAGCUAGCCAGUCUGCUGCCCUGUCAUAUCCCUCACUCUGAGAGGGUGUGUGGAAGCCACCUCUGCUAACAUGCUGGCUCCUGGGAAAGGCACACAGGGGAAGAAUUUUCAACCAGCUAGCUGUGGCCAGAUUCUGGAUUCUUCAUGCCACUAAGGCAGCAUCAAGAGGAUAGAACCAGGACAGAGAACUGGGCCCAGCUGGGGUCAGCAGUAUUAUGAAACAGAAGCCAAAACUAAGAUACAGCACGUCUCUCUGUUUCACCCCAUCUUUCCUUGGAAGGGAGGGUUGAGUCAUGCCUGAAUUAUCCCCACAUCUGGGCCUCCAAUAAUCCCAAAAGCUACGGCAUGCUGAUAGUAAUAAACACCUCAAAGAAACUCACUGGCGGUUGCAUCAAUGUGGAACGGCUUGACUGUGAUGAAGUGCAUUAAAAGAGCCAUGACAGGAACUAAGGUCACUCUGCAAGUUACUCAUCUGAUGGCUGCUCUGGGUGUCUAUGAAGUGGAUUGGAAAAGCCUGCCUGGAAUACAGCUGUUGACUUUCAGAGGUUGUGCGUGUGAAUACAGGAAUCCAAAAAAGCUCCCUCUAGGGACGUGUCUCCAAGGGGGUUUUGAAAGCUUUUGAAAAGCUGUCAUUGGUAUGAUUUGGUAACUUAGGAAAGUAGCCCUCUCCUUUUCUCUCACCACACCCCUUUCUUCUCCUGUGAAAAGCUCAUUCAUGGCUCUCCUCUUCCUUCCCUGCCGCAUUUCCACCUUAAAAGUCUUUUCUCUUUGUUUUCUUUUGUUCAAACCUGGAUUUUUCAUCCCACUGUUUUGUUUCUGUGUUGAUUGUGCACAGACCCAGAGAGUUACGUUUGAAAUGGCAUGAGGCUCCUACUGAUGCUGUGACCCGAGUGGUAUGGAUUAGGUAUGCUGCAGUUAUUAGGGCUGGUUGAAAAUUUUUGAGAGAGAAUUUUCAAACUGACAGAAAAUUGGCUUUCCAAAUAAACAUUAAAUGCUUUUCAAAAAGUAUCUAUUUUCUAAGGAUACCUUCAACUUUUUUUCAAAAAAACUAGGCAUGUCAAAACAACACAAAACCAAACCAAACAAUUAAUUCACAAAUGUUGCUGUGGUGCCCCCGACUGCUUCAUGCCUCCACUCUCUUUUAUAGGCCAGGUUCCCUAGUGGAACUAUAUCUCCCAUGAUGCACCACUUCCAUGGAGUCCCAUGGUGCACAGCAAGAGAAGCAACUGUGGUGCUUUGUGGGAGAUGUAGGCCAGGCAGGAAGCCUGGAACCUCAUGGGUGCACAAGGCACCCAAAAUACAACUCCCAUGUGUCAGCAUUUCCAAAUCACCAUUUUCAUGCUGGGCCCAAAACUGAUCAUUUUACAUUUUUUAACCCAAAAGCCAGAUUUUUCUGGCAUGUAUGUGGGUGUGGGUGAUCAGUUCUAAUAGUUCUUAUUAUUGCAGGUUCAACCCCAUUUCCACAGUGCAGCAACAACUGUGAGCUCUUUGUCACUACAUGGAAGUUAACAUGGAGUCAUGCAUUUUACUCUGGAACGGGGCAGCAGGGAGCCUUUUGGAUACAAUUUAAAAAUCAAGACCCUGUCUUCUCCGGUUAUAAAUACUAGGAGUGGUCUCAGGAGGGCUGAAAUUUUCAAAAGUGUGCACGAGCUGGGCACCCCAAACUCAGGAAGACAUUUGAACAUGUUGGCCAUAUCUUGUGAGGUGCAGAGUUCCUUUUGCUCGCAUUGGGAUGCUCAGGACUUGUGCUUUGGGCCUUUAUCAUCAUCAUGUUCCAGCAGCUCCCUAAAUCCUCCAUCAGGAUGGAGGCCCCAUUAUGCUACCUCUCUGUACACAGAGUAAUGAGAACUAAUGGUAAUACCUAGCUGUUCUACAGCAUGUUUUAGCUGGAGACUUCCAGGCACCUCACAAAGAUGCUAACUUUCAUUAGCCUCAUUUUAGAGUUGGAAUAACCUGGCAGAGCAGUCCAAAGCCUGGAUUCAUGAAGGUUCUCCAGCACCCAAGUCCCAGUCUCAGGCUCUGCUGCACUGGACAGAACUUCUGCAAAAUCCUGUGUGUCCCUGUUAAACUCGCUCAGCCCCUCAGUGUCUGCAGUACAAAUGUUCUUCUGGGCAUGUGUACUGCUGCCUUUCCCUAGUCAUCUGGACGCCUG